rnacentral:rRNA from 1 species
CCUACGGGUGGCAGCAGUGAGGAAUAUUGGUCAAUGGUCUCGCGCCUGAACCAGCCAAGUAGCGUGAAGGAUGACUUCCCUACGGGUUGUAAACUUCUUUUAUAAAGGAAUACAGUGCGGCACGUGUGCCUUUUUUUAUGUACUUUAUGUAUAAGGCUUGGCUAACUCCGUUCCAGCCGCCGCGGUACUACGGAAGAUCCGCGGGUUUUCCGGAUUUGUUGGGUUUAAAGGGCGCGUAGAUGGGAUGUUAACUAAGUGGUGAACGUUUGCGGCUCAACCGUAAAAUUGCAAUUGAAACUGGCAGCCUUGAGUACAGUAGAGGUAGGCGGAAUUCGUGGUGUAGCGGUGAAAUGCUUAGAUAUCACGAAGAACUCCGAUUGCGAAGGCAGCCUACUAAACUGCCACUGACAUUGAUGCUCGAAAGUGUGGGUAUCAAACAGGAUUAGAUACCCCAGUAGUC